CCUACGGGAGGCUGCAGUGGGGAAUAUUGCACAAUGGGCGCAAGCCUGAUGCAGCCAUGCCGCGUGUGUGAAGAAGGCCUUCGGGUUGUAAAGCACUUUCAGCGGGGAGGAAGGCGGUGAGGUUAAUAACCUCAUCGAUUGACGUUACCCGCAGAAGAAGCACCGGCUAACUCCGUGCCAGCAGCCGCGGUAAUACGGAGGGUGCAAGCGUGAAUCGGAAUUACUGGGCGUAAAGCGCACGCAGGCGGUCUGUCAAGUCGGAUGUGAAAUCCCCGGGCUCAACCUGGGAACUGCAUUCGAAACUGGCAGGCUAGAGUCUUGUAGAGGGGGGUAGAAUUCCAGGUGUAGCGGUGAAAUGCGUAGAGAUCUGGAGGAAUACCGGUGGCGAAGGCGGCCCCCUGGACAAAGACUGACGCUCAGGUGCGAAAGCGUGGGGAGCAAACAGGAUUAGAUACCCUGGUAGUC
rnacentral:rRNA from 1 species